rnacentral:rRNA from 16 species
AUUCCUUGUCGGGUAAGUUCCGACCCGCACGAAAGGCGUAACGAUUUGGGCACUGUCUCAACAAUAGACUCGGUGAAAUUGUAAUCCCGGUGAAGAUGCCGGGUACCUGCGACAGGACGGAAAGACCCCAUGGAGCUUUACUCUAGUUUGAUACUGGGACCAGGUAAUGUAUGUACAGGAUAGGUGGGAGCCUAAGAAGAGAUGACGCCAGUUGUCUUGGAGGCGCUGUUGGGAUACCACCCUUGCGUUACUUAGUUUCUAACAUAUGCCCGUAAGCCGGG